rnacentral:rRNA from 1 species
GACGAACGCUGGCGGCGUGCUUAACACAUGCAAGUCGAACGGAAAGGCCCUGCUUUUGUGGGGUGCUCGAGUGGCGAACGGGUGAGUAACACGUGAGUAACCUGCCCUUGACUUUGGGAUAACUUCAGGAAACUGGGGCUAAUACCGGAUAGGAGCUCCUGCUGCAUGGUGGGGGUUGGAAAGUUUCGGCGGUUGGGGAUGGACUCGCGGCUUAUCAGCUUGUUGGGGGGGUAGUGGCUUACCAAGGCUUUGACGGGUAGCCGGCCUGAGAGGGUGACCGGCAACAUUGGGACUGAGAUACGGCCCAGACUCCUACGGGAGGAAGCAGUGGGGAAUAUUGAACAAGGGGCGGAGGCCGGAUGCAGCAACGCCGCGUCGGGGAUGACGGCCUUCGGGUGGUAAACCGCUUUCGCCUGUGACGAGGCGUGAGUGACGGUAAUGGGUAAAGAAGCACCGGCUAACUACGUG